rnacentral:lncRNA from 1 species
CUUAAUUAUUAUUGGUAAAUACAUUCCCUGGAAGAUGUCAUCACAAUGCAAGACAUCAAUGACUACUAUAAUUAGAAUAAAUGAGAGUUCUCAGAAACAGAAGUACACCAAAAAUUUGUCACAUUCCAUUUAUUAAGACACAUGUAGGUUUUUGGACUCCACUGAUUCAGUUUGAUCUUUUUUAUUGUGGGUAUCAGACACUAUGGAGCUAUAAGUCUGGGUUUGGGUAUAAUGAGGAGUUGUUUCUCCAGAAACCAACUGAAUUUGGAGCAGUGGGGCUGUGCUAUGAUGAAAACAGGUCGGAAGGAGGAAUCUUGGGCCACACAAGAAGACUGUGGAAGGGGAGUGAAACAUGGAGAAGGAGAGCAGUUGUCUCUGAACACUGAAAUGUUAAACUACUGUAAAGUUGGGACUUUUCAGAUCCAGUGGACCAUGAAAAAGGAACCAUAUUGGUUUGGGACUCCUCAAAUAAAACAGAAGGCAAAAAUACGUUUCUCACUCAUUUGGCCUUCCCCCACUCGGAUGAAACGCCAGGAACACAGAAACUGUCUUGUUGACACCUAUGUCUACAGCACCUGGAGGGGGGUCUGGCAUGGAGUGGAGUGGAGUCAGUAGUUUGGGGUUGGGUUAAUACAGUCCUCACAACAUUAUUCUGAGAAAUGUAGCAAGCAAGCUUACAAAUGAAUUUUCUACUAUUCAAACCACAAAGCUUUCUCCAUGGAAAAGAACAAUUAAAACAAACCCAGAGGCAAAAUCAUGACCACUUUUCUAUAAACUGAUGCUAGACCCUCAUCCCUGCCAGAAGUAGUCUUAAUGAGAGGCAUUGAUUCUGAAGGAGAAAAUGGCUGAUUGCAAAGCAGGUUAAGUUAUGAAAAAGCUUUCAAAGAUAUUUAUAUCAUAGGAUUUCCAUUGAAAAAUCCCACUUAUAGAUUUGCCAAGAGAGAAAAAAUACACAUAUAUAUUUUGUGUGAAUGUGGAAAGUGAU